rnacentral:rRNA from 1 species
CGCUGAAGAGAGGAGCUUGCUCUUCUUGGAUGAGUUGCGAACGGGUGAGUAACGCGUAGGUAACCUGCCUUGUAGCGGGGGAUAACUAUUGGAAACGAUAGCUAAUACCGCAUAACAAUGGAUGACACAUGUCAUUUAUUUGAAAGGGGCAAUUGCUCCACUACAAGAUGGACCUGCGUUGUAUUAGCUAGUAGGUGAGGUAACGGCUCACCUAGGCGACGAUACAUAGCCGACCUGAGAGGGUGAUCGGCCACACUGGGACUGAGACACGGCCCAGACUCCUACGGGAGGCAGCAGUAGGGAAUCUUCGGCAAUGGGGGCAACCCUGACCGAGCAACGCCGCGUGAGUGAAGAAGGUUUUCGGAUCGUAAAGCUCUGUUGUAAGUCAAGAACGAGUGUGAGAGUGGAAAGUUCACACUGUGACGGUAGCUUACCAGAAAGGGACGGCUAACUACGUGCCAGCAGCCGCGGUAAUACGUAGGUCCCGAGCGUUGUCCGGAUUUAUUGGGCGUAAAGCGAGCGCAGGCGGUUUGAUAAGUCUGAAGUUAAAGGCUGUGGCUCAACCAUAGUUCGCUUUGGAAACUGUCAAACUUGAGUGCAGAAGGGGAGAGUGGAAUUCCAUGUGUAGCGGUGAAAUGCGUAGAUAUAUGGAGGAACACCGGUGGCGAAAGCGGCUCUCUGGUCUGUAACUGACGCUGAGGCUCGAAAGCGUGGGGAGCGAACAGGAUUAGAUACCCUGGUAGUCCACGCCGUAAACGAUGAGUGCUAGGUGUUGGAUCCUUUCCGGGAUUCAGUGCCGCAGCUAACGCAUUAAGCACUCCGCCUGGGGAGUACGACCGCAAGGUUGAAACUCAAAGGAAUUGACGGGGGCCCGCACAAGCGGUGGAGCAUGUGGUUUAAUUCGAAGCAACGCGAAGAACCUUACCAGGUCUUGACAUCCCGAUGCUAUUUCUAGAGAUAGAAAGUUACUUCGGUACAUCGGUGACAGGUGGUGCAUGGUUGUCGUCAGCUCGUGUCGUGAGAUGUUGGGUUAAGUCCCGCAACGAGCGCAACCCCUAUUGUUAGUUGCCAUCAUUCAGUUGGGCACUCUAGCGAGACUGCCGGUAAUAAACCGGAGGAAGGUGGGGAUGACGUCAAAUCAUCAUGCCCCUUAUGACCUGGGCUACACACGUGCUACAAUGGUUGGUACAACGAGUUGCGAGUCGGUGACGGCAAGCUAAUCUCUUAAAGCCAAUCUCAGUUCGGAUUGUAGGCUGCAACUCGCCUACAUGAAGUCGGAAUCGCUAGUAAUCGCGGAUCAGCACGCCGCGGUGAAUACGUUCCCGGGCCUUGUACACACCGCCCGUCACACCACGAGAGUUUGUAACACCCGAAGUCGGUGAGGUAACCUUUNNAGCCAG